AACGAACGCUGGCGGCAUGCCUAACACAUGCAAGUCGAACGAGACCUUCGGGUCUAGUGGCGCACGGGUGCGUAACGCGUGGGAACCUGCCCUUAGGUUCGGGAUAACUCCCCGAAAGGGGUGCUAAUACCGGUUAAUGUCUUCGGACCAAAGAUUUAUCGCCUUUGGAUGGGCCCGCGUUGGAUUAGCUAGUUGGUAGGGUAAAAGCCUACCAAGGCGACGAUCCAUAGCUGGUCUGAGAGGAUGAUCAGCCACACUGGGACUGAGACACGGCCCAGACUCCUACGGGAGGCAGCAGUGGGGAAUAUUGUACAAUGGGCGAAAGCCUGAUCCAGCAAUGCCGCGUGAGUGAUGAAGGCCUUAGUGUUGUAAAGCUCUUUUACCCGGGAUGAUAAUGACAGUACCGGGAGAAUAAGCUCCGGCUAACUCCGUG
rnacentral:rRNA from 1 species